CAGACUCUGCAGCAAAAGCCCAUAUCCCACUCCACAAGCAAUGAAAAUGGCUGAAACCACAAAACCUGAUUUCAGUGCUGAAGUUUCACCAGAAGCAGGCUGCUUUGGGAAAACUCUUGCACCAGAAAAAGAAAUUCAACCAAAGGUUACUGCCAACCUUGCUUAAAUAUGCACAAAAGCUUCUGAUGUGUCAUGGACAUGGAAAGUCUUAUAUCAGCUUAAAUUGUUAACCUUGUACUGUUCUAGCAAAUUUCAGAGUGUGCUGGGAAUGAUGAUGUUUUGACUUGCUUUUGGAUGCACUGGGGUCAAAGGAACAAUUUCUCAUUGAACUAAUGGGAAUUUGUUCACAUAGUUGCCUAAUCGCCAUAAGGCAAUUUGAAAUAUCAUACUGAACCAGUGCUAUUAGGACAACUAUUUGUGUUACUGUUUAACUGCUACAAACAAUUAACAAAUGAUGGACAUGCAUCUUGUCUGGUUGUUGUGUGACUAUCUGAAUUGUAAUGUUGAAUUUUAACACAACAUCACAGAAUGUAUAACGUUAACAUUC
rnacentral:misc_RNA from 1 species